UUAAGCGACUAAGCGUACACGGUGGAUGCCCUGGCAGUCAGAGGCGAUGAAGGACGUGCUAAUCUGCGAUAAGCGUCGGUAAGGUGAUAUGAACCGUUAUAACCGGCGAUUUCCGAAUGGGGAAACCCAGUGUGUUUCGACACACUAUCAUUAACUGAAUCCAUAGGUUAAUGAGGCGAACCGGGGGAACUGAAACAUCUAAGUACCCCGAGGAAAAGAAAUCAACCGAGAUUCCCCCAGUAGCGGCGAGCGAACGGGGAGCAGCCCAGAGCCUGAAUCAGUGUGUGUGUUAGUGGAAGCGUCUGGAAAGGCGCGCGAUACAGGGUGACAGCCCCGUACACAAAAAUGCACAUAUUGUGAGCUCGAUGAGUAGGGCGGGACACGUGGUAUCCUGUCUGAAUAUGGGGGGACCAUCCUCCAAGGCUAAAUACUCCUGACUGACCGAUAGUGAACCAGUACCGUGAGGGAAAGGCGAAAAGAACCCCGGCGAGGGGAGUGAAAAAGAACCUGAAACCGUGUACGUACAAGCAGUGGGAGCACGCUUCGGCGUGUGACUGCGUACCUUUUGUAUAAUGGGUCAGCGACUUAUAUUCUGUAGCAAGGUUAACCGAAUAGGGGAGCCGAAGGGAAACCGAGUCUUAACUGGGCGUUAAGUUGCAGGGUAUAGACCCGAAACCCGGUGAUCUAGCCAUGGGCAGGUUGAAGGUUGGGUAACACUAACUGGAGGACCGAACCGACUAAUGUUGAAAAAUUAGCGGAUGACUUGUGGCUGGGGGUGAAAGGCCAAUCAAACCGGGAGAUAGCUGGUUCUCCCCGAAAGCUAUUUAGGUAGCGCCUCGUGAAUUCAUCUCCGGGGGUAGAGCACUGUUUCGGCAAGGGGGUCAUCCCGACUUACCAACCCGAUGCAAACUGCGAAUACCGGAGAAUGUUAUCACGGGAGACACACGGCGGGUGCUAACGUCCGUCGUGAAGAGGGAAACAACCCAGACCGCCAGCUAAGGUCCCAAAGUCAUGGUUAAGUGGGAAACGAUGUGGGAAGGCCCAGACAGCCAGGAUGUUGGCUUAGAAGCAGCCAUCAUUUAAAGAAAGCGUAAUAGCUCACUGGUCGAGUCGGCCUGCGCGGAAGAUGUAACGGGGCUAAACCAUGCACCGAAGCUGCGGCAGCGACGCUGAUGCGUUGUUGGGUAGGGGAGCGUUCUGUAAGCCUGCGAAGGUGUGCUGUGAGGCAUGCUGGAGGUAUCAGAAGUGCGAAUGCUGACAUAAGUAACGAUAAAGCGGGUGAAAAGCCCGCUCGCCGGAAGACCAAGGGUUCCUGUCCAACGUUAAUCGGGGCAGGGUGAGUCGACCCCUAAGGCGAGGCCGAAAGGCGUAGUCGAUGGGAAACAGGUUAAUAUUCCUGUACUUGGUGUUACUGCGAAGGGGGGACGGAGAAGGCUAUGUUGGCCGGGCGACGGUUGUCCCGGUUUAAGCGUGUAGGCUGGUUUUCCAGGCAAAUCCGGAAAAUCAAGGCUGAGGCGUGAUGACGAGGCACUACGGUGCUGAAGCAACAAAUGCCCUGCUUCCAGGAAAAGCCUCUAAGCAUCAGGUAACAUCAAAUCGUACCCCAAACCGACACAGGUGGUCAGGUAGAGAAUACCAAGGCGCUUGAGAGAACUCGGGUGAAGGAACUAGGCAAAAUGGUGCCGUAACUUCGGGAGAAGGCACGCUGAUAUGUAGGUGAAGUCCCUCGCGGAUGGAGCUGAAAUCAGUCGAAGAUACCAGCUGGCUGCAACUGUUUAUUAAAAACACAGCACUGUGCAAACACGAAAGUGGACGUAUACGGUGUGACGCCUGCCCGGUGCCGGAAGGUUAAUUGAUGGGGUCAGCGCAAGCGAAGCUCUUGAUCGAAGCCCCGGUAAACGGCGGCCGUAACUAUAACGGUCCUAAGGUAGCGAAAUUCCUUGUCGGGUAAGUUCCGACCUGCACGAAUGGCGUAAUGAUGGCCAGGCUGUCUCCACCCGAGACUCAGUGAAAUUGAACUCGCUGUGAAGAUGCAGUGUACCCGCGGCAAGACGGAAAGACCCCGUGAACCUUUACUAUAGCUUGACACUGAACAUUGAGCCUUGAUGUGUAGGAUAGGUGGGAGGCUUUGAAGUGUGGACGCCAGUCUGCAUGGAGCCGACCUUGAAAUACCACCCUUUAAUGUUUGAUGUUCUAACGUUGACCCGUAAUCCGGGUUGCGGACAGUGUCUGGUGGGUAGUUUGACUGGGGCGGUCUCCUCCUAAAGAGUAACGGAGGAGCACGAAGGUUGGCUAAUCCUGGUCGGACAUCAGGAGGUUAGUGCAAUGGCAUAAGCCAGCUUGACUGCGAGCGUGACGGCGCGAGCAGGUGCGAAAGCAGGUCAUAGUGAUCCGGUGGUUCUGAAUGGAAGGGCCAUCGCUCAACGGAUAAAAGGUACUCCGGGGAUAACAGGCUGAUACCGCCCAAGAGUUCAUAUCGACGGCGGUGUUUGGCACCUCGAUGUCGGCUCAUCACAUCCUGGGGCUGAAGUAGGUCCCAAGGGUAUGGCUGUUCGCCAUUUAAAGUGGUACGCGAGCUGGGUUUAGAACGUCGUGAGACAGUUCGGUCCCUAUCUGCCGUGGGCGCUGGAGAACUGAGGGGGGCUGCUCCUAGUACGAGAGGACCGGAGUGGACGCAUCACUGGUGUUCGGGUUGUCAUGCCAAUGGCACUGCCCGGUAGCUAAAUGCGGAAGAGAUAAGUGCUGAAAGCAUCUAAGCACGAAACUUGCCCCGAGAUGAGUUCUCCCUGACCCUUUAAGGGUCCUGAAGGAACGUUGAAGACGACGACGUUGAUAGGCCGGGUGUGUAAGCGCAGCGAUGCGUUGAGCUAACCGGUACUAAUGAACCGUGAGGCUUAACCUU
rnacentral:rRNA from 1 species